UAAUACAACAAGGUAUAACAGGUUUUUACUUUGCCAACGCAAAGGCAUAUUUUAAAACAUAAGUAACACCAUUAACUAAUGCAUUCAGGAAAUAAUUGUUGGGUUUCAUUGGGAUUUGUUCUAUCACAGUUCCUGGCUUUGGAGAGUAGUGUGAUGCCAUUAAUAGGAUUUUAAACUUUAAGUGUGAGAAAAAGAAAUGGGAUCAAGUAAGCUUUAAAGAAACUGAUUCAUCUUACCCAACACCUUUCUUACUCAUGUAGUCUCAUACAGUGUCAGGAAGGACACUGUGGUUGGUUUAAUAGAGUUGAAAAUAGGAAAGGAAGUAACAGAGGGAAGUUCAUUAGAAGAGUCCAACCUGCCUAGAACAAUAUAAAUGGCCUCUUUUGGGCAAGUGUUAGCAACCCUGAAAGAGAUCUGGAUCUUAACUAAUAGCUGUGAUGGGGACAGUCUGACAAAUGAAAGAAAUCAGCACAGUGUCUCAGGAAGAGACAAACAAGGGAUAGAUCCAUGAAGAGGCCAGGAGGGAACGCUGGUUGCUAUGAAGACUGGGGUGUUGGGGCUGGGAGACUAGGACUGGCAGGGCACCCAGGAGGGACACGUUGGCCUGAGCCACGGACUCAGGCUGCACUGUGUCCACCUUCAGUACACUGCCACUCUCAACUUGGCAUCGAGCAAGUCCAGGCAUUGGGGAGGGGCAGUUAUUUCAAUUUCUUUUUUACUCCAUUCAUUAUCUGAAAAAGAUAAACUGUUAUUAAACAAAGAAUUGCUUCUCAGAUAAAUGCAAAAUAAAGAUGUUUGACAAAGAAAGUUAAAAUCUGCAUCUAAUCAAG
rnacentral:lncRNA from 1 species